rnacentral:rRNA from 1 species
GCUGACGAGUGGCGGACGGGUGAGUAAUGCUUGGGAAUCUGGCUUAUGGAGGGGGAUAACUGUGGGAAACUGCAGCUAAUACCGCGUAUUCUCUGAGGAGGAAAGGGUGGGACCUUAGGGCCACCUGCCAUAAGAUGAGCCCAAGUGGGAUUAGGUAGUUGGUGGGGUAAAGGCCUACCAAGCCUGCGAUCUCUAGCUGGUCUGAGAGGAUGACCAGCCACACUGGAACUGAGACACGGUCCAGACUCCUACGGGAGGCAGCAGUGGGGAAUAUUGCGCAAUGGGGGGAACCCUGACGCAGCCAUGCCGCGUGAAUGAAGAAGGCCUUCGGGUUGUAAAGUUCUUUCGGUAAUGAGGAAGGGAUGUUGUUAAAUAGAUAGCAUCAUUGACGUUAAUUACAGAAGAAGCACCGGCUAACUCCGUGCCAGCAGCCGCGGUAAUACGGAGGGUGCGAGCGUUAAUCGGAAUAACUGGGCGUAAAGGGCACGCAGGCGGACUUUUAAGUGAGAUGUGAAAUCCCCGUUAUGAACUUGGGAACUGCAUUUCAGACUGGGAGUCUAGAGUACUUUAGGGAGGGGUAGAAUUCCACGUGUAGCGGUGAAAUGCGUAGAGAUGUGGAGGAAUACCGAAGG